GAAUUAAACAACAACCCGGGGAGUUGAUGCUGGUCGCGAGACAUUGUGCACGCUCCCCUUUUGUUCAUUCAUCUCACACCUGUGCACUUAUCUGUAGGCUGAGCGAUCAGCCUACGUAUACUUUUAUCACACCCUGUAAAGUCUCGAGAAUGUAAACAAGGCGCUCGCGUCUUUUAAACUGAAUACAACUUUCAACAACGGAUCUCUUGGCUCUCGCAUCGAUGAAGAACGCAGCGAAAUGCGAUAAGUAAUGUGAAUUGCAGAAUUCAGUGAAUCAUCGAAUCUUUGAACGCACCUUGCGCCCUUUGGUAUUCCGAAGGGCAUGCCUGUUUGAGUGUCAUUAAAUUAUCAACUCUGACAACUUUGUUCUCAGAGCUUGGACUUGGAGUGUGCCGGGCCCCUCUGUGGGGUUCAGCUCCUCUUGAAAUGCAUAUGCGGAACCUUUGAUCACAGAGCAGCUCCAGCGUGAUAAUUAUCUACGUUGCGGCAGCGAUGCGGUUGGAUCUGCCUACAACCGUUGCAGACUUUUUGCAACAGG
rnacentral:rRNA from 1 species